GCACAGACAGGACUGCAGCCACUUCGGGCUUUCGAAACCCAUCCUUGGUGUUUGAAAUCAAGCGUCCUGCUAACACAGCAAGUGUUCGUCCUCGCUGAGGCCAUUCCUCUAGCCCUGCUGGUGUGCACUGGGAUGUGGAACUCGCUGGGUGUCCAGGUACAAGCCUCAGGAUACCAUAUUCUGCAUCUCCUGCUAGAUGUCUCGCCCAUCCAAUCAGAGGCCAUGGAAGCCGGCAGGCGCAUGAGCAUGUGACAUUUCCUUGAACACUGGGAGAAGCAGCUGAGCAUGAAGCAGAGACACAGCUAACAGGUUUGAAGCCAGAACCUGUCACUGACUUCUGGAAGCCAGGAUUAAGGGCAGCUACUUCUGCAGAGCUGGAGUGCUGAUGGGCGCGGGCCCGAAGCCGAGCCUAUGUCGUGGAAAAAUUGAUUCCCUUCUCAAGUGCGUACAUCAGUGAACAAGACAAGAGGACGCCCCACACAGGAAGUGCGCCUGGAAUUCAGCCCUUAGCAAGGAGAACCUGAUUGAGAGAGAUGUGUGAACCUUGACAUGCAUGCUAAUGAGACACUGGUCAGAUCUUGAACUUGCCUCCAGUCCACCUCCACUCUCCUCUGCCCUACCUCAGCCUCACACUUCCCAUUUGUAAAUCCUGGUAUUAGCAAGUGGGAGAUGCUAGAAUUUCAACCCAGCUGAGUUUCUGUUUCCCCUCAACAACUGUGAUAGUGCCCAGCAUAGGAGUGGAUUGGUCUGCUUUGGGCACCUCAUCCAACCGCACACAGACUUUGACUGCAGCCCCAAAGACUCUGUUAUGAUCUCUCCUUUACCAUCUCCUGUUUGUUUUAUAACUGUGCUCACCAUCAGCCCCAUGUGGCUAUUUCAAUUGAAAUUAAACAAAAACAUUU